UACGGGGGGGGGCAAGCGUUGUUCGGAAUUACUGGGCGUAAAGGGCUCGUAGGCGGCCAACUAAGUCGGACGUGAAAUCCCUCAGCUUAACUGGGGAACUGCGUCCGAUACUGGAUGGCUUGGAUUUGGGAGAGGGAUGCGGAAUUCCAGGUGUAGCGGUGAAAUGCGUAGAUAUCUGGAGGAAUACCGGUGGCGAAGGCGGAUCUCUGGGCCGAUACUGACGCUGAGGAGCGAAAGCGUGGGGAGCGAACAGG
rnacentral:rRNA from 1 species